rnacentral:rRNA from 1 species
CCUACGGGAGGCAGCAGUGAGGAAUAUUGGUCAAUGGGCGCGAGCCUGAACCAGCCAAGUAGCGUGAAGGAUGACUGCCCUACGGGUUGUAAACUUCUUUUAUAAAGGAAUAAAGUGAUGCACGUGUGCAUUUUUGUAUGUACUUUAUGAAUAAGGAUCGGCUAACUCCGUGCCAGCAGCCGCGGUAAUACGGAGGAUCCGAGCGUUAUCCGGAUUUAUUGGGUUUAAAGGGAGCGUAGAUGGGUUGUUAAGUCAGUUGUGAAAGUUUGCGGCUCAACCGUAAAAUUGCAAUUGAUACUGGCAGUCUUGAGUACAGUAGAGGUGGGCGGAAUUCGUGGUGUAGCGGUGAAAUGCUUAGAUAUCACGAAGAACUCCGAUUGCGAAGGCAGCUCACUAAACUGCCACUGACAUUGAUGCUCGAAAGUGUGGGUAUCAAACAGGAUUAGAUACCCCAGUAGUC